UACGGGGGGGGCAAGCGUUGUUCGGAAUUACUGGGCGUAAAGGGCUCGUAGGCGGCCAACUAAGUCAGACGUGAAAUCCCCAGGCUCAACCUGGGAACUGCGUCUGAUACUAGAUGGCUUGAAUCCGGGAGAGGGAUGCAGAAUUCCAGGUGUAGCGGUGAAAUGCGUAGAUAUCUGGAGGAAUACCGGUGGCGAAGGCGGCAUCCUGGACCGGCAUUGACGCUGAGGAGCGAAAGCCAGGGGAGCAAACGGG
rnacentral:rRNA from 1 species